GAUGAACGCUGGCGGCGUGCUUAAUACAUGCAAGUCGAGCGAAGGACUUCGGUCCUUAGCGGCGAACGGGUGAGUAACACGUAGGUAAUCUGCCUUAAAGACUGGGAUACCCUGAGGAAACUUAGGCUAAUACCGGAUAUGAAGUGGAGAGGCAUCUAAUCACUUUGAAAGUUCCGAAUGGAACACUAUAGGAUGAACCUGCGGCACAUUAGCUAGUUGGUGAGAUAACAGCCCACCAAGGCGAAGAUGUGUAGCCGACCUGAGAGGGUGAACGGCCACAAUGGAACUGAGACACGGUCCAU
rnacentral:rRNA from 1 species